rnacentral:rRNA from 1 species
AGUGAACGCUGGCGGUAGGCCUAACACAUGCGAGUCGAACGGAGGCUUCGUAAGAGCUUGCUCUUAGGGGUGGCGCGUGGGGGACGGGUGCGGAUUACUCCGGAAUCUACUUUUUAGCGGGGGCUAACGUAGGGAAAUUACCGCAAUUACAGCAUUCGUCCUCCGGGGGAAAGCAGGGGUUGUUCGGACUUUGCGGGAGUGAAUGGGCCGACGUCGGAUUAGCUAGUUGGCGGGGCAAAGGCCAACCAAGGCGACGCUCCGUAGCUGGUCUGAACGGAUGAUCAGCCACACUGGAACUGAGACACGGUCCAGACUCCUACGGUGGGCAGCAGUGGGGAAUAUUGGACAAGGGGCGCAAGCCUGAUCCAGCCAUACCGCGUGGAGGAAGAAGGCCUUCGGCUUGUAAAGCCCUUUUGUUGGGAAAGAAAAGCAGCAGGUUAAUACCCCGCUGUACUGACGGUACCCAAAGAAUAAGCACCGGCUAACUUCGUG